rnacentral:rRNA from 1 species
GACGAACCGUGCGAACGUUGUUCGGAAUCACUGGGCUUAAAGGGCGCGUAGGCGGCUUGCCAAGUCAGUGGUGAAAUCCUGCAGCUUAACUGUAGAAGUGCCUUUGAUACUGGCGAGCUAGAGCGAGGUAGGGGUCUGUGGAACUUCUGGUGGAGCGGUGAAAUGCGUUGAUAUCAGAAGGAACGCCGGUGGCGAAAGCGACGGACUGGACCUUUUCUGACGCUGAGGCGCGAAAGCCAGGGGAGCAAACGGG